rnacentral:rRNA from 1 species
GACGAACGCUGGCGGUGUGCUUCACACAUGCAAGUCGAACGAGGUAGCAAUACCUAGUGGCGGACGGGUGAGUAACGCGUGGGAAUCUGCCCAAGGUGGGGGAUAACUAGCCGAAAGGUUAGCUAAUACCGCAUAUGCCGUGAGGUAAAAGGAGUAAUCCGCCCCUGGAUGAGCCUGCGUCCGAUUAGCUAGUUGGUAAGGUAAAGGCUUACCAAGGCUACGAUCGGUAGCUGGUCUGAGAGGAUGAUCAGCCACAAUGGGACUGAGACACGGCCCAUACUCCUACGGGAGGCAGCAGUGGGGAAUUUUACGCAAUGGGGGAAACCCUGACGUAGCGACACCGCGUGAGCGAAGAAGCCCUUUGGGGUGUAAAGCUCUGUCAGCAGGAACGAAAAAAAAUGACGGUACCUGCAGAGGAAGCAUCGGCUAACUACGUGCCAGCAGCCGCGGUAAU